AUUAGACUAUCACCCCUAUCAUGCAUUUCGAUUACGUUCCCGCUCUACGCUCCGCCGGAGUCGAAAUUAGGUAUCAUGCGUUACGAUUGGAUUGAAAGAAGAAGAGGAAGAGCUAUAACUCUUUCGAAAUCAGCUGUUUGCUUUGAAAUAUGUGAAACUGGAACAUAACAAAGCAAAAAUACACAAAUUACUGCUGUUCAAAGAAAAUAAAUAAAAGUAAAAUUUUUAUAUUGUUAUUAUUUUUAUUAAACGUAACUAUGGAAUCUUUAUCCGCGGCGAUAUUACUGGUUGAGGAGGAGAGCAGCGCAUCUCAGAAUGCUGGGGUGAGAAUUGAAAGGAGAAGAUUACGAGAUAUGUGCGAUCCCUUCCAGAUGAAUGACGGGCUAUUCAAAAAAACUUUCGUCUGAAUAAGGACGCAUUUAAGUAUGUCCUAGAUACGUUUGCGGAAGAAACGACGGCAAGUAAAUUUGAUGCUUCCUCUUUCCAAAUAGCCUGCACAUCUCCUUUAGGACGCUGGUGGAAACCGUUGGGUAUAUCUAGCUUACUCUCCAUCAUAUCUGCCAAUUUUCCAUAUUGCUCUGGUGUUGUUUUUGAC